UACGUAGGGUGCGAGCGUUGUCCGGAAUUAUUGGGCGUAAAGAGCUCGUAGGCUGUUCGAUAAGUCGGGUGUGAAACCUCCAGGCUCAACCUGGAGACGCCACCCGAUACUGUCAUGACUAGAGUCCGGUAGGGGAGCGUGGAAUUCCUGGUGUAGCGGUGAAAUGCGCAGAUAUCAGGAGGAACACCAGCGGCGAAGGCGGCGCUCUGGGCCGGUACUGACGCUGAGGAGCGAAAGCGUGGGUAGCAAACAGG
rnacentral:rRNA from 1 species